UGUGACCCGGCGACUGCGCCUCCGCCGCUCUCCGCCCCCAGCCCUCUCCCGCCAGCGCCCUCCCCGCCCCGCUUCCAGCACGGUCCCUAAAGGCGCGGACGACUCAAGCCGGCAGAGCCGAGCGUAGAGAUCCCCACCUCGCCCCACCGCCCCAGUUUACAGAUGGGUAGACCGAGGCCGGGAGCACCUCGUAACUCCGCAAGGCCACGGGCUAGACAGUGGCAGAGCCGACGUCUCCUGUACGCUCUCCACCCCCACCCCUCUAGAGGGAGUUUAUUUUAUUCCAAUCUAAAAGUUCCCCCCUCCGCCCCCAACCUACCACCCACCCCCAGAUCCGCCGGAAAAGUAAACUGUGGCUGGAGAGGAAUCUGGGGUGUGUGGGGAGCGGGGAGGCAGGGAGCGGGAAGGAUGGAUGUAAUCAGUGGGCCUGAACUUCAUUCCUGCCCACGGGCCAAGAGACCCUUCCCUGCAGAAGUUCCAAACUAGGGGUUCUUAGAACUAGCUUCCCCACUCCCACCUCAACCUUCCCUUAAAAAAAUAAAAAGGCUGGUUUCUUCCGGGCCAGAUCUUGGCCACUUAAAAUGGUCCACUGCCUUCUCUGCUCCCGCCAAGGCCUUUCCUGACUCGGGGCCAACCCUCCCGGUACGACAUGCCCCGGCAACCAAGUCCUGGCCUGGGAGCCCACCCUCAGCCCCACUUCCCAACCGCAGACUAAGGCCAAGAAAGAGGUUAUAUCAUGAACCCAUGACCUGACUCCAGACAAUGAUUUUGCCAUUCCAACUUCAGAGGAAGCUUUGGAAGGAGUUUAAACCAUAAGCUUACCCUCUCAAUCAUCCACUACCCCAAGGACAGAGGUGGGAAAACUCAAAGGCACAGGCUGUACUGAGAAGUUUGAGCAAUGGAGAAGAAAGUGGAGCUCUGACUGACCUUAGCCCACCACAGUCAGGCUCCAAGAGGGGAGAUGGCCUGGGCUGAUGGCUCCCUUUCCUCUGCUGGCCCUUCCCUUUUGGGAAAACCCCCAUGUCAGAAAAGUCUCAAGUCUGUCAGACUGGGAGUCCCCAACUCCCAACCCAAGGAAGCAGCCCUAGGAAAGGAGAGGAUGAGAUUUCCCAAAGCUAUCUCUUACCACUUCCCUCCCCCAAUCUCAUCCCUCCAUCUAUUGGUGAGAAGCCUCCUAAAGUUGGCCUGAGGCUCCUGAGGGACUGGUUCCACCGGAGUCUUUAACCAGGACCCUAUCCUCCUUGGGACCUGCAAUAGAGAUAAGAAUCAGAGUACAAUCCUCAAAUAAUUCCCACAAAUUUGGAGCUGAUUCUUAACUGAAAAGAAAGAAAGAAAGAAAGAAAGAAAGAAAGAAAGAAAGAAAGAAAGAAAGAAAGAAAGAAAGAAAGA
rnacentral:lncRNA from 1 species